rnacentral:tmRNA from 5 species
GGGGAUGCACUGGGUUCGAUUGCAGCACUUAGUCGGGAUGUCCUGCAUGCAGUGGGUGGUAGCACUUAAAAAGCCACACAACAAACAAACGCAAACAAUAAUUUUGCUUUAGCAGCGUAAGCUGCUACGGUCGCUGGAGGAGUUUAGUCCUGUACUACGAAAGAUGACCGUCAGACGAACAGGAAUAGUGAUUAUGAUUCUCUGACAUAAUCGCAAAAUAAAGGAGAUGCUGUAAUAAAUCGGUACCGUAUUUGCACCUGUUUAUUACCUAAGAUAUAAGCAAAAACUAAGCAUGUAGAAGGCUCCAGUCAGUCUCGUAAGACGCGGGUUCGAUUCCCGCCAUCUCCAAUA